AAUAAUAAGAAUAAUAAGAUUAUUUAAUUAGUAUUGAUCAAGAAUUAAUCUAGGAUUAAUUAAGUGAUCAAAAGAAGACUAAUUAAAUAUAUGGGUUGAUUGUGUAAAUCAUCCAUACUUGUAUAGUGGGCUAAUGCUCCAUGGAUAAUCAAGUUGGGCUAAAACCCAUAGGAUGGUCCAUGGAUGCUCCAUGGUGUAUUUGUACCCAUGGAUCCAAGGAAAUGGAAAGCCAUGACAAUUAAGAGUUUACCCUAAUUGUGUAACUAUAUAAGCAUCUUAUUAUUGAGGAAAAAUCGGCCACUAGUAUUAUUCAAGAAAGGGCUAGCCGAUUUUGGUGAGUGUAGAAUUCUCUCAAGUCAUUCUAAGUGUUUUGAUGAUUGUGAUUCCAUUUGAGGUGUCACACUUGGGGCACUAAGCACUCAAGCUUCAUGAAGACUUUCUACAUCAAGAGGUAUGUAUUCUAUCUUGUUACAUUAUUGUUUUGUAUGCUAGAUUAGGAUAAUACCUUGGAAGUUCUUAUUUGCAUGUAUAAUAGAGAAAACAUAGAUCCAAGGUAUUUAGGGUUGCAUGUACACUUAGGAAGUGUUAGAAUGCUCAAAACCCAACAGUGGUAUCAGAGCCACGGGUUGUUUUCUGUUAUAUUGAUGCAAAUAUUUUAUUUUCAAAGUUGAAAAAAAAAAAAAAAAAAAAAAAGAAGUUCGUCAAAUUUUAAGAUAAUUACUUGUUCUUGUGAAAAACUAAUUAUUUGUAAAAUUUGAAUAAUUUGCUUUAUGAGUUGAAUUAGGUCAAAUUUAAUAAAAGAUAAAAUAAUAUGAUUAUUUUAUUAGUUUUAAAAGUUUGAUCUAAAGAGUUUUAUUUUUUGAAACCUCCAUAAGUUAUGGAUAUGAAAAGGUUUUAAAAAAAAAAUUAUUCAAAGUUUUUUUGGAGUUACAAAAUUUGGUGUUAAUGUUUUAAAGGAUUCCAUAACUUAAGAAUAAGUUAUGGAUCACCAAAAGUUUUUUGUGUUACCUUGUUUUAUGAGUGAAUUUAGAUUAAUGAAUAAAAUUAUGUGAUAGUUGGUUUUAAUCCAAAUUAAUCUAAGAAUUGAUUCUAAAAUGUGUUUUUGUAACUUGUCCUCAAGUUAUAUGAAAAGUCACAUUUAAGAAUCAUAAAACUCAUAAAAAUUGGCAAAGGUUACAAAAAUGAAGAGUCUAGUUCUAAUUAAAUGGUUUUAUGACUCCAUAACUUGUCCUCAAGUUAUGGAGGACCAAGAGUCUCUUCAUUUAAUAAAAUAAAAUAAAAUAAAAAAAAGGGUAACCUUAAUUAAUUCCAUAAGUUAUAAAAUAAAGAAAAGUUAAUUCUUUUAUUAGUUUAAAGUCUUCCAUAACUUGUCCUCAAGUUAUGGAACUUGAAGAGUUUUUGGAUUAAAACUACUUUAAACACAUAAGUUAUGGAAUUAAUUAGUUUUGAAUAGUUUCAAAACUUGCCCUCAAGUUUUGGAAUUUGUAAAGUUUUCACUUAUGAAUACUUUAAUUCCAAGUUAGCCCUUAGAAUUUUAAAAGUUAAAAUUCAACCCUUAUACUUUAUAAUAUUAUAAGUUAAUAAUAUAUAUAUGUAUAAGAGUAAAGUCAGUCUUACCGCUAGUACGCCUCAUUCACGAAGCCGGUCUAUAAGGUGGGUAUAAGGUUGUUGCCUAUAAAAUGGCAACUUAAUGGGUGUCCACUCUCACCCACCGCUUGCUUGACUGGUGGAGGGUCGUUAGCCGAACGGGUUUGACAGGACUAGAAUUCUCCCUUCAUUAAAAGUAUUAAUGAUAAUACUAAGUAACUAAACUCUUAAUAAUACCCAAUCUUAGUUACUUAGGAAAAAUGUGAAUAAGGUGCUAAUCCAUGAAAUUACACUUUACACUUUGUCUAAGUCGUUAGUGGAGCGUGUGUGGUUAACCGGCACACUAACUUGGACUUAACAAGGUAGGUAAAGGGUGACUUAAUAUUUAUCAUAGUAUCGAUGGAGCGUGUGUGGUUAACCGGCACAUCGAUUGAGGGGUAAUUUAUUAAGGGUACCAAGUGAUUUGCAUGGUUACUUCACACCUUGUUUUGUGAUCCUCGGCAUCCCAGUCACAAAACCUGAAGGGCACACUCGAGAUUGAAACAUGCCUUUGAAAAGUUCAAUGAAUCUCAAAGAUCUAGGAGUUUCAAAACCAAUUAAAACCUAAUAAUACAUUUCGUUUAUCUUGGUGGAAAUUGGUGAAUCGUCAUUCACCUACCUUCAAAUAUUUUAUAGCUUGGAUUACGGCAUACCUCUUCUAAGUUAUAAAAUAGUUUGUUGGGUCCUAGCCUUAAUAUUUCAUAUUGGGUGUCAUAUUAAGGACUUUAAAUCAACUAUCUUGAAUAUCUCCCAAAAGAUGUCUGGUUUAGACACCUAUGAUCUUCCCAAAUCUCUUGAAACAAGGUUUCCUAAUGAAGAUGAUGUCCCAUGGAUAUCAUACUUCUUCACCUCUUCAAAUUAUUCUCCCUAACCCACAAGUUCUUGAAAAGUUUAAGGUCACUCAGGCCCUAUUGGCAAGGCAAGGUCUAGGUGUGGUCACAUCUUGGAGAUGUAGUCACAUAUUGACAAGCCGGGAGAGUUGGGUGUCAAAGUCUUGAGAAAGUUGGUGGUUCAACCACUUUCUAAGUCACAUAGUGAGUUCCUUUGGGACACCUAUGAAACAGACUAUGACAAGACCCUUAAUGAUCUUAUCUAUUUGCUAAGAUCAACUUCCUAAAACUUUAUGGACAUUGACAAUGAUGACAUUGGAUAUCCAGUAAAGCAUUCUCUUCCCAAUGGAAAGGGAUCGGCUAUAGUCAACUCGGUUGACCAAAUGGUAAAGAGAAAAGCUAAGUCUGUGAUAGUCCUGUGUACCAUUAUCAAAGGGUCCAUAUGUUUGUAUUGCCAAAGAAAGGGCAUUGGUUGCGAAGCUGCCAAAUUUACCUAAGGAUGUUAAAGUCAAUAAGUUUGACUCUACUUCAGGUAAAAUCCACUAUCUAACUCUGUUAAGUUUCUAUUCUGAGAUUCUUGAUACAUGAUGUGACCGGGUCGCAUGGUGAUGGUUUAAGAAUCAAAGGAAAGUGAAGAAACUUAAAGGAAGAAUAUGCUGAAUCUGAUCGCAUAGAUGGAUUUCUAUCGCAUAGUUUGAAAAAUCGGAUUCUUGAGCUACUUCUUAGGAGUUAUGAGAUAUUGCUUAGGAAUAGAUAACAACAAGUUUUCAUAUGGAUUGUAAGGAUAGUUUUUCCGCAAAGUUUUAAAAUAAAAGGAAAUUUUUGAUUUUAUUUAUUUUAAAAUAUCCUUACAAUGGCAUCUGUGGAAAUUUUUGUUGCUUAUAAGAUUCCAUUAGUAGCAAGAGUGGAAGUAUGAAAUUGAUUCUUUCAUUUGUGGUAAUGUCUAAAUUUACCAAAUAAGGAAAGAUUCUCAUCACCCAAGUUUCAAUUGGACCGGAACUUGGAAUCAUGCAAGUUGUAUAGCAUGAUGAAUGAGAACUUUCAAGUUUUGGAAAAUUAAGACUAAUUACUUGUUCACAUGGAUGUGUGAGUCAAGUAAAGGACUUAGGGAUCGAGUACACAUUCUUGUGCACUGAUUAAGUCCACCACUAAAGAUCGAUAAGAAGAAUCAAAUAAGGCAGAAGGAUAAAAGUUUCUCAAAUCUGAAAAGAUGGGAGAGUACUUUAGUAUCAGUUUUGUGAUCAUCUUAAUGAUUAAGAAACCAUAUCAAAAUUAGUUCUCUAAGGAAAUCUUAGUGCAUUCUUAUGACUAAGAAGAGGAACUUGAAUUGUUGAAAUGGUUAAAUCAAGAAGAUGAGUCAUACUUCGUUCCAAUACAAGUCUUAGAGUCAUACUCCAAGAUUGUCAUUUGAGUGACAUGUCUUAAAGAAGGUUUAAAACACUUGUCAAAUGUAAGAGUAAAAGUUUUCUACUCUUGUACAUUUGAAAUUGGUAAGUUGUGAUGUUUUGGAUAAAACAAAGACCAACUUAGGCCAAUUGGGUAAAGUGUUUUUCUUGAUUAGAAUCCGCACUAUCUCUUGGAUGUUUGACAAGGGAGUCUUAUAUGUCAAGAGGACAGUGGGAGUCUUAAAGGUCUUGAAAGUCUCAAGAAAUAAUCAAGAAUAAAACCUAAAGUUCUUCACUAGCACACGACUUGAGGUUCAUAACCUAUCGUGUUGACAUAUUCUGUGCCCAUUCCAGUUAAAGUUGGUUUUGCAUAUGAGUUCUUAGAGUUCUCAAUUUGUUGCACAACAACUUGGAAGCAAUGGCAGGCCCUUGAGCUGCCAGGUGGCAAGAAGUUAAGAUUGAGUUCAAUCCAUAUGGUUUUGGAUUUGUCAUUAUCUUUGUCUUGUGAUUAUGGUUUGACAAAUUCAUAUGGGUAGGAACUCAUACACCAUAUAAAUCUAAGUGUCAUAAGGUUUCUCUCCGAUUCAUGAAAAUGAUGGUGAGGAAACGCUUUCACUAAGUAGAUUUUACGAAGAUAUCAAUUGUGUUAUUUGCAUUUUCAAAAGUCGUUAGUGGAGCGCGUGUGGUUAACCGGCACACUAACAUGGACUUGUGAGAAAUGGCAAAUGCCUAAGCAAUUGAGACCAUGAUUACGGUAUCCCUUUUCAUGGUUCUUGAAAUUGCUUAGACACACAGGUGAGCUAUCUACGGAAAGGGUGUAUGAAUCUAAAUUUCAGACUGUCCAGCUGAUUUCUGAGUACAUGUCAAAGCUAGUGGGAGCAUAAGUGUUAUGCUAAUAAUCAUCAUGUUAGUGGGAGCAUGAUAAUUAUGAUAAGUAUUGCAAGUUAGCAAUGUUAAUUAUAGAAAACAAAAGUUUCAAUUGGGAAAAAGUUGUUUUGCUAUAAUUAAGGGAGAGGAAAUUAUGCUUCAUCUCAAAUCUAUAAGCUUAGAUCGUGAGGUUUUAAUCAUUUAGUCAAGGAUAUAUAUGAAUUUCAUGUUGGAAUGGCUCAACAUAAGGAAAUUCUGUAUAUGGGUCCAUUAUUUGCGUUCUAAAAUUCGAUUAUGAUUACGGCAUCCCUUUUCAUAAUCUGAAUUAUGAGAACUUGGCAAAUUGAAAUGGAAAUAUUAUAGCAAAAGACUGGUUUAGUCUUUAUGUAAGACAUCAUGAAUCGUGUCCCAUAUGCUUCGGAUAUAGGAUCGAUUACAUGUGCUAUAUUCAUCCGUUCUAAAAUUUUCCAAAUGCCUGGGGCAUUAAGAAGGGAAAAGGUUUAGAACUGGAUAUGACUAAAAGGAUUAAACAAUUGUCGAGGACAAUCUAAGGUUUACCAAAGAUUGGUUACUCAAGGACAAUUGGAAGUAUAGUGAUAAUUCUGGAAGGACCAUAUUGACAUAAUCUGUAAGGAGGCAACUCUUGUUCAGAAGUGAUAGUCAAAAUGGAAUCUGGAAAUGUUUCAAAGUUAGAAUUUUCAAUCUGUGUAAGAUUAAGGAAACUUAAUGCAAGAAGGAUAUUUCCAAGGAGUUGAUCUCCUUUGGAAUACUCUGUAAUGAUUGUUGCCAAGUCUUUGUGACUUUGUGCAUAAUCAUUACAAGAGGAUCAAUGCAUAUAAGUUUAGAAUCUAACAGAUUUCAGUAAAUGGCAUGAAUUUGGAAUUCUUGCAUUUGCAGUAAGGAUUUGGGAGUGUGAAAAGAGAAUCAUUGAAGUUAUGUUCAAUUGAUCUAGUUCACAAAGUAAAGAUCAUAGACAAACAUAGUAUGCAUACUUGGUGUGUGGCAUGACUAGUGUUUAAGAAAACAUAGUGUACAUGCUUGGAGCAUGGGACAACUAUUGUUUUAAAUUCAAGAAUAAAGUUGAUAGCUGAAACAGUAUACAAUGAAUAAUGUGUAAUCAUAUGGUGAUAAAUAAAAGGUGUUUUAUUUAUGUUCAAAGGGUUGAUACCAUAUUGGAUUCAAUUAUUAUUGUGUUUCAUUUUGCAUGUUUUGACUUCCCGAAUAAACUGGGUUAUUCUUCCGGAAUGACUAAGUUAUUCAAACCAUCCACAGUCGGUCAUAUGUUGGAAGUAGAUAUGAAUUAAGACUGUCAUGGGUUGGCUUGUAGAGGUCUAAGGUGUUGGACAAAGGGCUACAACACUCAUGAGUGCUCAUAAGUUCUGAGUAUUGGAUUCAACCCGCGCUCAUUGGAAUCACUUCAUGGAUUUUAUCACGAGUGAUCAUGAGACGAUAAUAUCUUAUAUUCUUCAAACCUAGAGAUAUGAGUUGUUACUAUGAGUUGAUAGUACAUUGAUUGCACGAAAACGCAUUUGGUAACUCGGUGCUAUAAAACGUGCCUUUGUGUAUGAUUCAACAAGUAGUAGAACAAGCCAUAUGAGUCGAAGUUUAUCCAUUCCUUUUACCUUCGGGAUAAAAGCGAUAUCUGUGGGCCCCUCGAUGAUUUGAUGAUGACAAAUGGAAGUGCUCGGCCGGGCCAGGACUGAUUUGAUUUGUUCAAUUAGUCAGUCGUCAUAAAUCGGAAAUCGGGAAACAACAAAUGGACAGAGAGAAUGAUUAUAAUCCAUGUCUCAGUCCAUAUGAUAUCUAGAAUGGAGGAAUAUAUGAUCCCUUAUCUAAUGGACAAGUCAUUGACAAAGGUCAGAGUUCAUCUACAAGGUCAGAGUUCGACAGAAGCUUUUGAGAGCUACGAUUGCCAGUUGGUUCCUGAAGUCAUACGCAAUAAUAGUUUUAGACUUAUCCAAGUGGGAGACUGUUGGAUUAAUGUCUAAGUCCAUAACUAUAAUUGGUAAGACUUGACCCGACCCGGCAUGGUCCAUUUGGGUUGCAUACCAUCAUGCACUUGAAUGAGAGAAAUAAGACACUUAUGGUUAUUAAUAUAUUAUAAGUUCUAGUAUAUUAAUAAUAAGAAUAAUAAGAUUAUUUAAUUAGUAUUGAUCAAGAAUUAAUCUAGGAUUAAUUAAGUGAUCAAAAGAAGACUAAUUAAAUAUAUGGGUUGAUUGUGUAAAUCAUCCAUACUUGUAUAGUGGGCUAAUGCUCCAUGGAUAAUCAAGUUGGGCUAAAACCCAUAGGAUGGUCCAUGGAUGCUCCAUGGUGUAUUUGUACCCAUGGAUCCAAGGAAAUGGAAAGCCAUGACAAUUAAGAGUUUACCCUAAUUGUGUAACUAUAUAAGCAUCUUAUUAUUGAGGAAAAAUCGGUCACUAGUAUUAUUCUAGAGAGGGCUAGCCGAUUUCAUGAGUUGUAAGAAUUCUCUCAAGUUAUUCUAAGUGUUUUGAUGAUUGUGAUUCCAUUUGAGGUGUCACACUUGGGGCACUAGACACUCAAGCUUCAUGAAGACAUUCUACACCAAAGAGGUAUGUAUUCUAUCUUGCUAUAGUUAUUGUUUUGUAUGC
rnacentral:lncRNA from 1 species